rnacentral:rRNA from 1 species
AACUAAAGAAAAACUACCUCCGGGCUGUUAUACGCACCCGAUAGUGUGAGACCCCAUCACGAAAGUGACUUUAACUUGACCCUGAACCCACGAAAGCCGGGAAACAAACCGGGAUUAGAUACCCCAUUAUGCCCAGCCGUAAACACAAAUAGGUAACCUACUAUACCUAUUCGCCCGGGAACUACAAGCAUUAGCUUCAAACCCAAAGGACUUGGCGGUGCUUUAGACCCACCUAGAGGAGCCUGUCCUAGAACCGAUACCCCCCGUUCAACCUCACCACUUCUUGCUUAACCCGCCUAUAUACCACCGUCGUCAGCUUACCCUGUGAAGGAUAAAUAGUAAGCUAAAUCGGCACAGCCCAAAACGUCAGGUCGAGGUGUAGCGCACGAAGUGUGCAAGAGAUGGGCUACAUUUUCUGACCCAGAAAACUACGAAAGAAGAAAUGAAAAACCUUCCGAAGGAGGAUUUAGCAGUAAUCAAGGAAUAGAGCGCCCUGAUGAAACCGGCCCUUAAGCAUGCACACACCGCCCGUCACUCUCCCCGAAGUCUCUCUACAGCCUUAACUUAUAGCACAAAACUGACAAAGAGGAGGAAAGUCGUAA